CUCCAGACUCCUACGGGAGGCAGCAGUGGGGAAUAUUGCACAAUGGGGGAAACCCUGAUGCAGCGACGCCGCGUGAGCGAUGAAGUAUUUCGGUAUGUAAAGCUCUAUCAGCAGGGAAGAAGAUGACGGUACCUGACUAAGAAGCCCCGGCUAACUACGUGCCAGCAGCCGCGGUAAUACGUAGGGGGCAAGCGUUAUCCGGAUUUACUGGGUGUAAAGGGAGCGUAGACGGCGGCGCAAGCCAGAUGUGAAAGCCCGGGGCUCAACUCCGGGACUGCAUUUGGAACUGUGUGGCUGGAGUGUCGGAGAGGCAGGCGGAAUUCCUAGUGUAGCGGUGAAAUGCGUAGAUAUUAGGAGGAACACCAGUGGCGAAGGCGGCCUGCUGGACGAUGACUGACGUUGAGGCUCGAAAGCGUGGGGAGCAAACAGGAUUAGAUACCCGUGUAC
rnacentral:rRNA from 1 species